CAUCCAUCCACUAACUGGCUCAAUAAAUACUGAGUGCUGCUAUGUGCCUGUUCUAAGUGCUGGGUAAGGGAUCCAGCUCCUGGUUAAAAAUCUAUGUGCUGGCUGCUACACCAAAAAUACCAUAGGCCAGGCACUGUGGCUCACGCCUGUAAUCCUGGCACUUUGGGAAGCUGAGGCAGGCGGAUUGCUUGAACCCAGUUCAAGACCUGCCUGGGCAACAUGGCGAGUCCUCCAUCUCUACAAAAAAUACAAAUAUUAGCCAGGUAUGGGGGCACACACAUGUAGUGCCAGCUACUUGGGAGGCCGAG
rnacentral:lncRNA from 1 species